UACCGGCACUACAAGUGGUAUCCACUUAUAUUGGGUCUAAAGCGCUCGUAGCCGGCCCUUUAAGUCAUUGGUGAAAUCCUUCAGCUUAACUGAAGGGCGUGCCAGUGAUACUGAGGGGCUUGGGAGUGGGGGAGGUCAGGGGUACGCUCGGGGUAGGGGUAAAAUCCGUUAAUCCUGGGCGGACCAGCAGUGGCGAAGGCGCCUGACCAAAACACGUCCGACGGUGAGGAGCGAAGGCUAGGGGAGCAAA
rnacentral:rRNA from 1 species